AGAGUUAAAUAGUACGUGAAAUUGUUGAAAGGGAAACGAUUGAAGUCAGUCGUGCUGGCGCGUAAUCAGCCUACGAUUUGUCAAACAAGUAGUGUGGUGAGCCUCAAAACCGCCAUAUUAUUUGUCUGGCUAAUCGUCGGUGCACUUUCGUGUCGGCUGGUUAACAUCAAUUUCAAAUGUCAUAAAAAGGCUGGAGGGAUGUGGCUCCUUCGGGAGUGUUAUAACCUUUAGCGGAAUGUGGUGUUUGAGAUUGAGGAUUGCAACGAAUACCUUUAGGGCUGUUCCACCUGGUCUCUCUUUGGCAUCUUGGCGGCGACAGCUUGCUGACGUUGUUAAGAGUUGACAUUGAACAGGCUAGAGUGUGAGCAAAUUCGUUAAGGAUGUUAACGUAAUGGCUUUAAACGACC
rnacentral:ncRNA from 2 species